UGGAAUAAGCAUCGGCUAACUCCGUGCCAGCAGCCGCGGUAAUACGGAGGAUGCGAGCGUUAUCCGGAUUUAUUGGGUUUAAAGGGUGCGUAGGCGGAUAGAUAAGUCAGUGGUGAAAUUCUGCAGCUUAACUGUAGACUUGCCGUUGAUACUGUCAGUCUUGAGUAUGGUCAAGGCAGGCGGAAUGUGUAAUGUAGCGGUGAAAUGCUUAGAUAUUACACAGAACACCGAUUGCGAAGGCAGCUUGCUGGGCCAUUACUGACGCUGAUGCACGAAAGCGUGGGGAUCGAACAGGAUUAGAUACCCUGGUAGUCCACGCCGUAAACGAUGAUCACUCGCUGUUGGCGAUACACAGUCAGCGGCUAAGCAAAAGCAUUAAGUGAUCCACCUGGGGAGUACGGCCGCAAGGCUGAAACUCAAAGGAAUUGACGGGGGCCCGCACAAGCGGAGGAACAUGUGGUUUAAUUCGAUGAUACGCGAGGAACCUUACCUGGGCUUAAAUGUAGAGUGCAUUGGUGAGAAAUCAUCAUUUUCUUCGGAACUCUCUGCAAGGUGCUGCAUGGUUGUCGUCAGCUCGUGCCGUGAGGUGUCGGGUUAAGUCCCAUAACGAGCGCAACCCUUAUCGUUAGUUGCCAGCGGGUAAUGCCGGGGACUCUAGCGAAACUGCCGGUGUAAACCGAGAGGAAGGUGGGGAUGACGUCAAAUCAGCACGGCCCUUAUGUCCAGGGCUACACACGUGUUACAAUGGCCGGUACAGAGGGCAGCUACCUGGAGACAGGAUGCGAAUCUCGAAAGCCGGUCUCAGUUCGGAUCGGAGUCUGCAACUCGACUCCGUGAAGCUGGAUUCGCUAGUAAUCGCGCAUCAGCCAUGGCGCGGUGAAUACGUUCCCGGGCCUUGUACACACCGCCCAU
rnacentral:rRNA from 1 species